rnacentral:tRNA from 1 species
GCCCAGCUAGCUCAGUCGGUAGAGCAUGGUACUCUUAAUCUUAGGGUGGUGGGUUUGUGCCCCAUGUUGGGCG